rnacentral:rRNA from 1 species
UACAGAGGGGGCAAGCGUUGUUCGGAAUUACUGGGCGUAAAGGGCUUGUAGGUGGCCAACUAAGUCAGACGUGAAAUCCCUCGGCUUAACCGGGGAACUGCGUCUGAUACUGGAUGGCUUGAGUGUGGGAGAGGGAUGCGGAAUUCCAGGUGUAGCGGUGAAAUGCGUAGAUAUCUGGAGGAACACCGGUGGCGAAGGCGGCAUCCUGGACCAUUACUGACACUGAGAAGCGAAAGCCAGGGGAGCAAACGGG